rnacentral:lncRNA from 1 species
GAUGCGAUUGCACCUUUGAUCGGUGCUGGGGGCAACAACAGAAAUACAAAUUGAUUCAAGGCCACCUAGAAAACAAAAAGGAGAGACUAAUGACUCUAUUAAAACAUAAACCCAGAAAGGUAAAGUGCUUAAAAUGUGAGAAUGAGGAGAAAAAUGGGGUCUACUGAGAAGCAAACCCACCUACAAAUUAACCAAAACAAUUGAUUAGUGUAAGGAUUUGCAAAGUAAAUUGAAGAAAAUCAAGACCAAAAUCUGAAAAUAAAAGGAACGGUUUUCCCCUUUAUAAUUCGGCUCAGAAACUUGAUCCACACCACAAAGGUAUCUCCAAUUUGAAGGCCAUUAUUAGUCACACAGACAGAUUCACAAAGAAAAGGCAAGAGAGGAUUGGUUUGCACUAAGCAGGGAAGUUUUUCUUCCUCUUGUUUUU